rnacentral:rRNA from 1 species
AGUGAACGCUGGCGGUAGGCCUAACACAUGCAAGUCGAACGGCAGCACAGUAAGAGCUUGCUCUUACGGGUGGCGAGUGGCGGACGGGUGAGGAAUACAUCGGAAUCUACUUUUUCGUGGGGGAUAACGUAGGGAAACUUACGCUAAUACCGCAUACGACCUACGGGUGAAAGCAGGGGAUCUUCGGACCUUGCGCGAUUGAAUAAGCCGAUGUCGGAUUAGCUAGUUGGCGGGGUAAAGGCCCACCAAGGCGACGAUCCGUAGCUGGUCUGAGAGGAUGAUCAGCCACACUGGAACUGAGGCACGGUCCAGACUCCUACGGGAGGCAGCAGUGGGGAAUAUUGGACAAUGGGCGCAAGCCUGAUCCAGCCAUACCGCGUGGGUGAAGAAGGCCUUCGGGUUGUAAAGCCCUUUUGUUGGGAAAGAAAAGCAGCAGGUUAAUACCCCGCUGUUCUGACGGUACCCAAAGAAUAAGCACCGGCUAACUUCGUG